CAGCCUCCCGAGUAGCUGGGAUUACAGGCAUGCACCACCACGCCUGACUAAUUUUGUAUUUUUAGUAGAGACGGGGUUUCUCCAUGUUGGUCAGGCUGGUCUUGAACUCCCAACCUCAGGUGAUCCGCCCGCCUCAGACUCCAAAGUGCUGGGAUUACAGGUGUGAGCCACCACGCCCGGCCCUGACCAACAUCUUGACUGAAACUCACGAGACACUGAGCCACAACCUUCCAACUAAGCUGUUCCUGGAUUUCUGACCCUAGGAAACUGUGUGAGAUGGCCAGUUCCUGCCUUAACUGAUCACAUUCCACCACAAAAGAAGUGAAAAUGGCCUGUUCCUGCCUUUGCUGAUGACAUUACCUUGUGAAAUUCCUUCUCCUGGCUCAUCCUGGCUCAAAAGCUCCCCUGCUGAGCACCUUGUGACCCCCCCGCCCCUGCCCACCAGAGAACAACCCCCU
rnacentral:lncRNA from 1 species